AAUGAACGCUGGCGGCAGGCCUAACACAUGCAAGUCGAACGGAUCCUUCGGGAUUAGUGGCGGACGGGUGAGUAACGCGUGGGAACAUACCCUUUGGUACGGAAUAGCCUCGGGAAACUGGGAGUAAUACCGUAUGUGGUCGAGAGACGAAAGAUUUAUCGCCAAAGGAUUGGCCCGCGUUGGAUUAGGUAGUUGGUGGGGUAAGGGCCUACCAAGCCGACGAUCCAUAGCUGGUUUGAGAGGAUGAUCAGCCACACUGGGACUGGGACACGGCCCAGACUCCUACGGGAUGCAGCAGUGGGGAAUCUUAGACAAUGGGGGAAACCCUGAUCUAGCCAUGCCGCGUGAUCGAUGAAGGCCUUAGGGUUGUAAAGAUCUUUCAGGUGGGAAAAUAAUGACUGUACCACCAGAAGAAGCCCCGGCUAACUCCGUGCCAGCAGCCGCAGUAA
rnacentral:rRNA from 1 species